rnacentral:lncRNA from 1 species
CAAGGAACAGAGGGAGAGCUUGUUCCAGCAGACGGGCCCCAUCCGCUCCUCCCGUCCGAGGGCUGGGAAGAAGGGAUGGAGGCGAAGGGAACUCUCCCACCCCUCCGGGGCCCCGCGGGCGCGCUGCUUCCCAGAAAAUACGGUAAAAAGCCUUCAGCCUAAAAAUAACUGCAGCCCGUGGCUGCCCAAGGCUGAGGAACCAGCCCCUCGGGGCUCACUUAGAGAUGUCAACGUGUGGCCAUUGGCCGGUCUCUCUGAUGGGCAGAAGUCAUCUGGCGAGGUGCUGAUCCUCCUAUAGUGUUUGCAAGAUCUUUAAGAAGAAUUGCAUGGCCGAUGUCGUUGCGUUUGAGUUGUGCUAGAAUACCCUGACCAUCAGAGGACUUGGAUUUUAUGACAGAAGAGAUCAGCACUGCAAAGACAUGGCGAUGUUGUUCACAUUGCCUGGACCUGAGCCCAGGGUCCGGGACCAGACCUGUCUCAUACCCACACCUUAGAAGACAGCGCCGUGUUCGUGUUUUCUUUUUGCAGGCUGAAAGCUUUCCUGGACCUGCUGAACACUUCUGCUGUAAUCUGUCGUGGCUGUCAGGGUGCCAAGAGACAUGCCAGACCCUGGGCCACAAUAGUGGAACAGACAUGCCCAGAGCUGAAAGCUGGCACAAGGUAGUGUAUAAAGUGAGAUAUGUGAAGCCACGGGCAAAUAGUUUGGUAAUCACGUGGGUCAGUUAGGCUUGGCACAGGGCAGAGCCUGUCUGCUCAUCAAGGAAGGCAGAGACAAAACUUCGUCAUAGAAUCAUAGAAUAUUUGAAUUAUUGAAUCAUUGAAUGGCUUGGGUUAGAAGGGACCUUACAGCCCACCCAGCUCCAACCCCAGUGCCAUGGGCACAGUUGCCACUCACUGCAUCAGGUUGCCCAGUGCCCCACACAACCUGGUCUUGAGAAGAGUUGGGGGACUUCUUAAUGAGAGCUACGAGGAUUAAACAAAAACAAUUACUCCAGAAGGACUGAGGUAAAGGACACAGUGUUGUCUCAGUGGGGUCGCAAACACAUUUCAAAACAGAUUUUUGCAGAAAGAGAUGUUUCCCAUUCCCCAGAUAUCUUGUUCCCAACAACGAUUCUCGUUUCACAGUAAGGUUCAGGGUUGGAGGAAGGAGCAUGAGCCUUGCUCAGCAUUGGUGCAGGGGAUGCUCCACGUGUCUCCUCACCUAGAAAGCUAAACCUCAAAGAAUAGAAGAGCACAAUUCACUCCUCGCAGAUGGGGAAAUGGUGCAGUGAGUCAGCAAGGCAGACCACAGAUGCUGUCCAAAAGCAUUGCAGCAAUUAGUUGGAGCAAGGUGGAGAUAUAUUCCUCCAAAAUGAAAGUCUCUGUAGGCUGUUACCAGUGCUCACAGCCAUCUAGUCCCUUGCUGAACAUUUCUGACCAAAAUCCUUCCAAGCUGAUCUAUUUUCAGCCCAACCCACUCGAUACCUUGAUUGCUACGCAGCUCUUUUAGCUGCUCUUAGGUAAACAUGUUGUCAUUCCCUGGCAUUUUGCCUCGCUAAGACCAAAAAUAUGAGUGGCACAGAAAAUAAGAAAAGCUGUUCUCCUCCGCCAGGAAAAAUGAUGCUAUUUCUGAAAUAAACUGUUUUUAAUACACCUCACCAGCCAUGUGCAUAUACACACAUGUAUAAAUAUACUUGACCCGGAGGUCCAGUUCCAGUGUUGGCAUCUUGUAUGCCUAUAUGGAGACAGAACAGAGAGGGAAUUAUGUAUGUACAAACCAGGACACACCUUCGGUCCAGUCUACAUCUGAAUGCAGAACGUUGGUUAAGACAAAAUACUGAGGUCUGAUCCCCAUUAAAACAGGUUCACAGGGACUGGUCCAAACUGAGACCAGAGAGUUAUGGGCUGUCAUGAGGAGCAGCUUCUACCAUAGCGACCCAUGUGCCCCAUACCUAAAACCAGCAUCCCCAGGGUUGAACCAGAGCAGGCUGGAGCAGAUCAGUGUCAGAGCUCUAUCCACAGCAGGCCUUGUUUUUGAGGAAUGACAGUGAUGUUGGCCAGACCUCCAAGCCUCUUUUUUUUUCAGAUUUCUCUUUAUCGAGUAAACACAUAGAAGUCAACAACAGAUGGAGCAUCACAUGGAGUUACGCAGACAGGUGUUGACUAGCUGGUGGUGUUCCAAGAAAGGACGGUCCCAUCUGGUCAUGGGGAGAGCUGUGAUGGUGCGAAAAGAAGAGAGUGAUCACCAUGGACAAAGAGCAUCCCACGAACUCAUGUCAGAGAAGAGUUUUUGUCUUGGAGGUGGAGGGCUCAGUCGGUGGGAGAAGUAGGGCUACUUCUACGUGGGGUGUGGAUGGAGAAGUUUGAGAAACGGAAGGAGAACCCAUGGAGACAAUGUGAGACAUCCCCAGAAUGAAUCCAGAUGUGCUGCUCUGUCUGUAACCCAGUGCUGUAAGGAGGACUGAGAUCUGCUGCACUGCAAGCCUGGAUAAAGAUACCCACCAUGGAUCUUCUCCCUGGACUCCUGACCCCAACUGCUCACCUUCCUCCUUCUGCCCUGGGCUAACUUCUCCUCGACUUCUGCUUUGGUUGAAAAGAGGCUGGGGUAAAAAAAGGGGGAAGGGGAGCCUGAAGGUGCAGUGAAAUUUGGUUUUUCAGCUUUAUUGCAUAAGGAAGCCCUGACAGCUUUUAACACCAUUGUCACUUGCAGGAAGAAAAGUUGUUGGCAGUUUGUGGGGGUCUCCUUUGGCUUUAGAUGGAGCAGAAGAAUGCACUAUCACUUCUGCUAUAGGCUGUGCUUAGCAGUGGAGCAAGGCAUUGCCCUAGCACCAGCAGCGCUCUGAAUUCAUCUCCACACUCCAUGUUUUCCUUCACUAAGUCUAAUGAGGGCUGCAGGCUGCUAGGGAGGCACGCAGCAAUAAAGACUGAAAACAGUACGCAGGACUUCCAGCUGCAAACUGUGUGUGACCCAGGACCUGACUUGACUUGGCUUGUGUGGGGAUCCUCUUCCCAAUAUCUGAUUCACCCUCAUACUGUAUGUAGCAUCAUGGUUUUUGUCAGCAUUCCAUAUCAUAGCAUCAUGUCAUACGUUCUCAGUACUGGGGCUGCUGGGGUUGUAAUUCCUGGUUUCCUUAUGGUGUGAUGUUAUGAUAUGGAAUAUCGAUGGACAGUACCCUGGACGUGCUCCAUAGGCAUAGGGGGACCCAGGGUGAAAGCCCACCCAAGGACCGCAGACAAGGGCACCCAUAAUAACUAGAGGGUAGCUGGAGAAGCAGCACCAUUGGGUGUAUCAGCUGUGUGUAACCUCCAGCAGCAUCAUACAAGAAAUGUUUGGCCUGACCCAAAGCCCACUGGAGAAAAUAAGGAGAAGCAUCACUUCCAGGAACAGCAUGGAUGUGGUGCAAUCAGGGAGAAAGGCAAGAAAAGCUGUGCAAGCAUUUGCCUAACGUUCUUCUGGGAGAUAAUAAUUGCCAAACAGCACUUGUUCCCUCCCUUUAUCCCACUCUGUCCUUCAGGGACAUCUGUUCCAAAGGGAAGAACCUGAUAAUUAUGGAUUGGGUCCUCCGAUGGAGGCUGGAUAUGGCCCCAAGGCAGCCAGCCUCCCUGUGCACAGUGCUCAUGCUGGGAAUGCAGCCUGUGAGUGGUUCAAUUAAAAGGUUUCUCAGCAAUGACACCAGCAGAGGCACAAGAAGCAGACAACCUAUUCACAGACCAAUUAGUUUUAUGAAUAAAUGUGUGCAGGACAGUGAGCCCAUCGGCUGAGCGAGCCAUGCCGGAGUGCUGAGCAGCACUGGGAAAUAUUCUAUUGGGAAGUUUUAAAUGCCAGUCUCCGUGCAUGGAUGGGGCUGCGUGGCUUUCCAUCAGCUCAAGCUUGCCCCUGCUGAUCCUUCAAUUCACGCUGUCUUCUCCCCAUAUAUGCCAUUCUCAUGGGCUUGGUGGGGGCAAACGCUUCGCAUGCAUGUUUUACCCAGCUCCAUCAUGUCAUCCUUCCCUUCGUGGCCAGAAUGGGCCAUGAACUCCCAUUUCUUCCCAUCAGACUGGGUUGCCUUGCAAAGGGCCCAGCCCCUCUCACCCUAUUUGAGGACCUGGGGGUUCACUGGGGCCAGCACCACUGGGCUCCAGCCUCCUGCAGCCCCAACAUAGGCCAGGUGGGUGUCAGAGCAGCUCCAAUCCCAGUAGGCGUUUAGUGUCAUUUAUACCAAGGCUAAUUACAUCUUAACAUUUUCCCUCUGUAUUUUGGUAUUUAUUUUGGAAAAGCUCCUCCCUGGAGUCACUUUCUUCCCCAGCUCUACAACAACAACAAUAACAGCAGUGCACUGCCUUUUCCCUUGGCUCCUUCCCUCAUUAUUAUAGCUCUGCCAUGCUGUUCCAGUACAGUCAGCAGAGGAAUUCAAUCAGGCUGAUGAGUAAAAGUGCAUAAUUUUAUGGCUGCAUAUCAACUGCUUGUUAUUAAACUAAUCAAUCAGCUUCAGUGCAGCUACCGGUAAAGCACGGGAGAGGGCAAAGUGAAAGAAUUGCUAUGCUGUUCUUUUUCCAAAAGGACAAAAAGACAAUUCCAAUCUGGCCAGUCGAAUUCUUCGGCUUGUACUUCUCUGCUGUAAGAAAUGCUUUGCCUGAGUUAUGGAUCGGUUGACCUGCAGCACAGUAAUGAUGGAGCUGGUGCUGCCCUUGUGCUCACCUCCAGCACUAAGCCCUAACAUGGCAACCUGCUGCAGGGAACCAGCUUUAGUAGGAGGUUGGCAUAGAUCAUCUCCAGAGGUCCCAUCCAACCUCUACAAUACUGUGAUUCUGUGAUUUGCCAUGCCCCAAAGCCCAGGAAAGUCACCAGGUACUCCCACCAUAUCUCAUCUUCUCAGGAAGAGUGGUAAUGCAUUGGAACAGGCUUUGGGGAAGUGGUGGAGUCAUCAUUCCUGAAGGUUUUCAAGGAACAUGGAGAUGUGGCACUGAGGGACAUAGUUAGUGGGCAUGAUGGGGAAGGGUUGGGAUUGGACUUGAUGAUUUUAGAGGCCUUCUCCAGCCUUCAUGAUUCUAUGAUUCUGAAGGUCUGUCCUCCAUGCCCACAAGAGCACAGCAAGUAAGGAAUUGCAUCACACAAAGAGAAACCUGGGCUACACAUCAGGUGUAACUUCCUACAGGAGAAGGGUGAGCAGCCAUUGGGACACACUGCCAGGAGGCACUGGAGGUCCUGGAACAAGCACUAUGUGCUUCUUCUAUAGCAACAUUGGGGUUGGUGUUGGUGAGGUUCUGCUUGUGGCUAGAGAUAGUUAUGAUGGAGUUGGAGGUCCCUCACAGCUCUAGGGGAGAGAGAGACUCAUCCUCUUUGCCAUCCAAGAGGAGGAGAAGGUGUAACAGGGCUUGGAACCUCAAAGCCAGACAGUGGGAUCUUUUGUGUUAAUGGACGUGGG